CGGGUGAGUAAUGCGUGACCAACCUGCCCCAUGCUCCAGAAUAGCUCUUGGAAACGGGUGGUAAUGCUGGAUGCUCCAACUUGACGCAUGUCUUGUUGGGAAAGUGUUUAGUGGCAUGGGAUGGGGUCGCGUCCUAUCAGCUUGUAGGCGGGGUAAUGGCCCACCCAGGCUUCGACGGGUAGCCGGCCUGAGAGGGCGGACGGCCACAUUGGGACUGAGAUACGGCCCAGACUCCUACGGGAGGCAGCAGCU
rnacentral:rRNA from 1 species